AACUAAUUUGUUAUACUUUCAUUCCAGGCCCGUUUCUUGCUGUCCAAGGUGAACCCGUCGCAGACUCACAACAACAUGUACGCCUAUGGAGGGGCGAUGCCGAUCCCAUCAGCGGACGGUGGCGCCCCAGUGCUGACGGAUGACGUUUCGCUGCAAGUGUUCAUGGAACAUCUGAAGAAGUUGGCGGUAUCUUCCACCGCGUAAACGACUUUCGCCCUUCAGUACUUGUGUUUAGUUCGACUUUUGUUUAAAAUUUUAUUCUAUACAUGUACGAUACUUACUCGUCUACAAAACGAUUAUUUUAUAUUAUCUGUUUGAAAUGGAUUCAAAAUUGACCAUGCCAGUCGAAUCAACAUUUAUCCGAGUUGAUAAAAAUAAUUUU